AUUGCAGCUCGUCGGCCCCGGGGACAUGGCGGCCAACGUGCUGAUGCCGCUGCUGAUUCCCCUUGGCGAACAGCUAACCAACGUGACGCGUCUCCAGAGGCUCACAUCUUCCCCAUACAUCUCCCUGAUGCAACCACAGUCGCAGACAGGGUUGACAAGAAGUACAUGGAUGUUCAUCGGCUACACGACGAUAACUUUGACAACGGCCAGCUUCUGGCAGGACUCGUCGAUCUCGGGUCAUCGAGAUUACCACGUCCUGUCACUCUUGUUGCUGUGAGUGGCGUGGACCGCAGGCCUCUGCUCAUAUCAGUGAUUCUAGCGAAAGAUGAUGUCUAUUCUUCUCCUUUUGUUACUACAAAUCUUGUGAAAUAAUUUCCUGUCUAAAAAGUCUACAAUACAGGCAUGAAACAUA